rnacentral:rRNA from 1 species
AACGAGCGCAACCCUUGUGUUUAGUUGCCAACAGAUAAUGCUGUGCGCUCUAAACAGACUGCCGUGGAUAACACGGAGGAAGGUGGGGAUGACGUCAAAUCAUCAUGCCCCUUAUGAUCUGGGCUACACACGUGCUACAAUGGUCGGUACAACGGGCAGCGAAAGAGUAAUCUGGAGCGAAUCCUAAAAAGCCGAUCCCAGUUCGGAUUGUGGGCUGAAACUCGCCCACAUGAAGUUGGAGUUGCUAGUAAUCGCGAAUCAGAAUGUCGCGGUGAAUGCGUUCCCGGGUCUU